UAUCUUUAUUCGUGUUUCUUUCGAUUUUCCUCCAUUUUUUUAACCGUCUUUCUUCCACUUGCUAAGGUUGCCUUAGCUUCUUUUUGCUUCAGUCCCCCCCUUAUUUUCGAUCUCUUGCUUAUUUUCUUCGUUCUCACUUCUGCUUUAAUGGCUUUUUUUUCCUGAUACGAAUUGUUUGCAAAUUGCAAUAGAUCCAAACCCUAAUUUGCUCAAUUUCUAUGAAGAUGGUGAUGCUUAAUUCUUUUAGAGGUUUGUUUUUGUUCAACCUCCGACUCUCUCAACGAGGCUAAGAGACAAACAACCUGCUCGCUUAGUUCAUCAACAUAAUUUUACCUGCCAAGCACCUAAUUACAUUUCCCUGCAGCUAAUUGCUACCAAGAUGGAGAGACAGCUGCUUCAGAUCGGAGCCUUGAAGUAUCAGUGUCAUUUGGUUGAUUUGAGAACGAUCCACUGUUUCAGCCAAUUGCAAUCUUCUGCUGAAGGAAGAUCAUUGGCAGCAAGAAGAGAUCUUUUAUUUUUACUAUUUGCUUCACCAUUUUUAGGUCGUUAAACAUUAUUGCCAAUUUCAUUCCAGCAAAAGGGAGAGAAGCUAAAGUUUCCUGUGAAAAGAGAAUGCAAGAUUUUGGAAGUUGAAUUGUACCAUAGAUCAAUCGUCUGCAUGUUCUUUCCUCUCUUGUGUUAUUACCAUGACAACAUUUUUCAGGAAUUAGGGCAUGACCGCCUUGAAGCUCAUCUGUCACGGUUCUACAUCAAUAUUUUGGACAUGUUAUGUGUCUUUUUAAAUGGCGAAGGCUGAUCCAAUUAGACAUAAGAUUGUUCAUGUUAUAAAAUAAGAUGAAAACUACGCUGCCUUUGUAGUGUAUUAGAUAUAGAAAUGUAAAAUAGUUUUAUGGUUAAGGUUUUAACCAAUUAAAAACAUAAAAAUUCCUUUUCUAUUAGAUAAUAGAAAAAGUAUAAUUAUAUUUCUGGUA